AAUAUAUUACCUCCAUCCCAAAUUACUUGUCUUAAAUUUGUCUAGAUACGGAUGUAUCUAACACUAAAACAUGUCUAGAUACAUCUGUAUCUAGACAAAUCUAAGACAAGUAAUUCGGGACGGAGGGAGUAGAAU
rfam:Triticum urartu cultivar G1812 contig443572, whole genome shotgun sequence.